GUUUCUAAGUAGUUCUACUUUCCUACCUACUAGUCUGCAUGCUCAUGGGAGAAAAUACAAGUAAGAUCGAAUUAUUGUACGGCGGAUUAAUUCUCGCGAGAAAGGCUACGGAAAAAUUGUGGGGCAAAAACGAAAUUUCAAGAUUAAAGUUACACGUUAUAAACAGGGGUAGUAGCAUCCGAAAAGAUCUCUGAAAUUAGUUACUACAACAGAACAGAAUAACAUGUAAGAUAUAAUGAUUCCUAUAGAUAUUUCUAAAGCUGUCAUACAGUUGUUGUUCUCACUGAACGUUUGCGUUUCGGCAAUUUUCUUUAAACUUCUCGAUCUAAUAUUUUUGGGCCCUCUUUUUCUCAAAGGUUGUAAAUAAGUACAUUUCAAAUCAUGCUGCAGACAACGAUUACAUGGCUUUUCGCCGUCACACUUUACUCGACGAACACGACAACAAUCGCGUGCCUGUUUUGCCAAAGUCAUUUGUAAAGUAAAAUUCCAAUAGAAAGGAAAUUUUUUUUCUCAGUUCCAUUUGAAGUUUGCUUAUAUUUCUAUGAGAGAAGAAUCCUGUAAUCAUUUUCUGUUGCAUUUAAGUUAUUGAAUACAAUGGAACGGACAAUAAAAGCCGGGGCGGGAUAAAAGCGCCCGCGGGUGAGGAAGGGCGCUGCAAUGAGAACGAAAAAUAUGAGGUAACAAAGAAGCCACUAAUGUCCAUCGAAACCAAUUCCUUCUAAAUAUUCCCCCGAACAGUACAGUUCUUCUCAUUGAAAUAUCGACAAUGAAUAGGCACGUAUUAAGCCAAAAAAAAAAAAUCUCCGUUCUACUCGAAUAAUCUUCUCCUCCCAUACUCAGGAGGGAGAGUAGUGGAUGACACAAGAAAAAAAAAAUUCACGCCCACCCCCCUUCCUCGAGCAAACUAAGCUGGCGAAAAAUUCGUUCUGAAAAUAAGGCGGUUCUGCUUAAAUUUCUAUCUCUAGUAGUGUUAGAAUAACAUUCUGUGAUAGGUGAGAGGAAUCGCAAGGAUACUAACAUAGAUGAGUACCGCUUCUGUGAUAUUUGCUCCGUUGUACGGAAAGAGAUGUGUCUCUAUGCAAUAAACGCCAGGGACGGUUUUCUAAGCUUUUUCGUGCACUACUCCCCAUGGAUUUCCUCUCCUACUAACCUUGUGUAUGUCUUUAAGGAAUAUGGUAAAAACAAAAAAUCGAUGGACCUGAGAAAUAACGUUGGCUGCGCGGAGGAACAAUUGUCGGAGAAAAUCUCGGAGAGGAAAAUAUUCAGCUCAAGUUAUGGUACCUUACGUAAAGAUAGGGUCGCCGCAGGGGAAUUUUUCGGAGAAAUAGAAGGCAAACCCCACAAUUUUUACACAAUGGAGUACGUAGUCCCAAUUCAGCAAGACUUGAAGAACAAGGUUAAUUGCUAAGAUUUUUUUACCCCACAGAAUUAAGCUCCUUCAUGAACCAGUAUCGACAUUAUUGUCACUGGGGAUAAUCUGCCAAAGUCUUCUAUUAUUCCGUUAAGGUAAUAGGAAUAAAAAAUGUUGCACACUUAACUCCUAUCAUACAACACACCACUUGCGAAUCAACAAGACCAGGUUUUGCAAAAUUAAAAGGUAUUUAAAGGGAAUAUUAAAUCCAAAGUCGUUUAUGUUUUGUUUCCCUUCGGCAAUAGUCGAAGUUAUUAUAGAGCCUAAGUAAACC
rnacentral:lncRNA from 1 species